rnacentral:rRNA from 1 species
UACGAAGGGGGCUAGUGUUGCUCGGAAUCACUGGGCGUAAAGCGCACGUAGGCGGCUUUCUAAGUCAGGGGUGAAAUCCUGGAGCUCAACUCCAGAACUGCCUUUGAUACUGGAAAGCUUGAGUUCGGGAGAGGUGAGUGGAACUGCGAGUGUAGAGGUGAAAUUCGUAGAUAUUCGCAAGAACACCAGUGGCGAAGGCGGCUCACUGGCCCGAUACUGACGCUGAGGUGCGAAAGCGUGGGGAGCAAACAGG